UACGGAGGGAGCUAGCGUUGUUCGGAAUUACUGGGCGUAAAGCGCACGUAGGCGGCUUUGUAAGUUAGAGGUGAAAGCCCGGAGCUCAACUCCGGAAUUGCCUUUAAGACUGCAUCGCUUGAAUCCGGGAGAGGUGAGUGGAAUUCCGAGUGUAGAGGUGAAAUUCGUAGAUAUUCGGAAGAACACCAGUGGCGAAGGCGGCUCACUGGAACGGUAUUGACGCUGAGGUGCGAAAGCGUGGGGAGCAAACAGG
rnacentral:rRNA from 1 species